AUUCUUUUGUAAUGCGUAUGAGUAAUUAUUAGGUGUUCACACACAAGCAUGAGAUAUGCCUUCCUCAAAGUUUGUUACAACGUCAGCACAUUAUCUUUCAGACA